rnacentral:tRNA from 11 species
ACGUGGCAUAGUGGUAUCACGUCCGCCCGUAGCGCCAGAGACUGUGGGUUCCAAUUCG